GCAUAUCAAUAAGCGGAGGAAAAGAAACCAACCGGGAUUGCCCUAGUAACGGCGAGCGAAGCGGCAACAGCUCAAAUUUGAAAUCUGGCUCUUUUAGAGUCCGAGUUGUAAUUUGCAGAGGGCGCUUUGGCUUUGGCAGCGGUCCAAGUUCCUUGGAACAGGACGUCACAGAGGGUGAGAAUCCCGUACGUGGUCGCAGGCUAUUGCCGUGUAAAGCCCCUUCGACGAGUCGAGUUGUUUGGGAAUGCAGCUCUAAAUGGGAGGUACAUUUCUUCUAAAGCUAAAUAUUGGCCAGAGACCGAUAGCGCACAAGUAGAGUGAUCGAAAGAUGAAAAGCACUUUGGAAAGAGAGUCAAACAGCACGUGAAAUUGUUGAAAGGGAAGCGCUUGCAGCCAGACUUGCUUGCAGUUGCUCAUCCGGGCUUUUGCCCGGUGCACUCUUCUGCAGGCAGGCCAGCAUCAGUUUGGGCGGUAGGAUAAAGGUCUCUGUCACGUACCUCUCUUCGGGGAGGCCUUAUAGGGGAGGCGACAUACUACCAGCCUGGACUGAGGUCCGCGCAUCUGCUAGGAUGCUGGCGUAAUGGCUGUAAGCGGCCCGUCUUGAAACACGGACC
rnacentral:rRNA from 1 species